AGCAGCCGCGGUAAUUCCAGCUCCAAUAGCGUAUAUUAAAGUUGUUGCAGUUAAAAAGCUCGUAGUUGAAUUUCGGGGUUCUACCGUUGGUCGGGCUUUGUCUGUACUGGCGUGUAGAAUUUCUACCUUCUGGGGAACCAUCAUGUUAUUAAUUUAACGUGGUGGGAAACCAGGACCUUUACCUUGAAAAAAUUAGAGUGUUCAAAGCAGGCUUAUGUCUGAAUACAUUAGCAUGGAAUAAUAAAAUAGGACGGUGGUCCUGUUUUGUUGGUUUCUGAAUCACCGUAAUGAUUAAUAGGGAUAGUUGGGGGCAUUAGUAUUCAAUUGUCAGAGGUGAAAUUCUUGGAUG
rnacentral:rRNA from 1 species